GACAGAGGGUGCAAACGUUGCUCGGAAUCACUGGGCGUAAAGGGCGUGUAGGCGGGAAUGUAAGUCGGGCGUGAAAUCCCUAGGCUCAACCUAGGAACUGCACUCGAAACUGCGUUUCUUGAGUAUCGGAGAGGAAAGCGGAAUUCCUGGUGUAGAGGUGAAAUUCGUAGAUAUCAGGAGGAACACCAGUGGCGAAGGCGGCUUUCUGGACGAUUACUGACGCUGAGACGCGAAAGCGUGGGGAGCAAACAGA
rnacentral:rRNA from 1 species